rnacentral:lncRNA from 1 species
GCUCAUCAUGAACAAAACCAAGGCCGACAACACUGUCAUUAAUGGAGCUUAUCAUGUAAUACGGAAACCUGGGAUAAGCAACAAAUUACACAAGUGACAAAUGUGAUGAGUGCUGUGCAGCAGAGUGCGGGGUGCCCAGGGAACAUUUCAGCAGAGCCCUGGAGGAUAACCGCCUGAGCUCCAGGAAGGAAGUUUCUUCAAGUGUAAAAUGAGAGGUUGGAUGGAUCAGAAGAUUCAGGCCUCCUUGCAGAUCCCCACGGGUGAACCCCAACAAACAGGCUAUUCAGCCAGCAGCCCCAAGUCCUUUAUGAAAAGCCAGGGUUGAUUGAAACUCUCCCUUCUCAGGAGAGAAACUAGAGGCAAAGCUUCCUCAUCGGCAGAGAUAAACUUGGCAGGAGCCAAUUCAGGUAGGACCACGGCCAACUCAGGGCUCGUGGUUGAUCGAAGGGGAUCUGUGUUAGUCAGCAUUCUCCAGAGAAAUGGAACCUGUUGGAUAGAUAAGUAAAAAGAUUUAUUAUCGGAGUUGGCUCAUGCAAUUGUGGAGGCCUUGAAGACCCACCAUCUCCUAUCUGCAAGCUGGAGAAACAGCAAAGCCGGUGACGUAAUUAAGUCUGAACCCAAAGGCAUAAGAUCAAGGAGAACUGAUGGUCACCUGUGUAUACUUCCAUUAUGGCAUGUAACAUGCUGGCAAGAAAAUGAUUCAUUGGGUUGUGUCUUCUCAGCUGCCUAAAGAAUGAAAUCAUAUACUCUAGUUUCAUAUGCCCAGCAUUGUACACAACUUGACACAUCACAGCAGCUCUAGGAAAGCACAUAGGCUAACAACUGAGUGAACAAUGGACUGACUGGGUGUCGUUCAGGGUUGGGAAAGCUAGGGCGGGUCUCUGUGCCCCAUCUCUAGCUUUUCCUUAACUCUGGCUUUAUAAACCCUUGCAUCAAAAAAUAAAAGCUAAGGCUAAUUGUUUCAAA